GUUCUGACUGGUUGGUAAAAGGACUCUAAAUCCUUUGAGUGGUUCGAUUCCACAACAGAAC
rnacentral:misc_RNA from 2 species